UGUCAGUUACUGUUGAUGCCUGGGAAAGGAAGAACUUCUUAUUUUGCUUUAUUAAUGUGCUUGGUGAAUGUCUCGUGCAACUUUGUGCAUUUGGGACAGAGAUACCUGACUUCAUAGCAUUGGGUCUCCAGCCGGGAUCUGACUCCCCAUACAGACCUAAGCUCAUCAGUCAGACCCUGAAUCAGAAGUACAGGGGAAGUUUCUAGAAGAGUGGAGUUGCUGGAUCGAGUUCCCCAAAUCCUUUAACAGAAUUGCAUGGAAAUACCAGGCCCCAGCUGGACAUGACUGACAUUUAUCUACUCACAUCCACCACCAAACUUCCACUGGAGCACAUGGAAUGGCGUGAGAAACACCUAGACAGUGCAUUUCACACCAGGAAGAGAAGCUCUGGGGACUGGAUGGCAUGUGUUUCUGCAAGGAGUCGGGAGCCUUGGUGGGAGACACUAUGAAAAGGAAAGAGAAGAAGCACG
rnacentral:lncRNA from 10 species